rnacentral:misc_RNA from 1 species
GCAACUACGUGAAUGAAGCGGCGAAUAUAAGCUGUUCCGUGAACUGGCAUGAGCAGUCCAUGAAUACGUUGACCUACAUUUUGUUCCUGUUCGCCAUGGGCCAGAUCGUACCCUUGGCCAUCAUCACUUUUAGCUACGUUAACAUCAUCAGGACUAUGAAACGGGUAAAUAUAUAGAUCAUGUGUGCAACAUAGUAUAAAUAAAUAGAUCUUUCAACAUGUAAUG